AUUAUUACUUCCAUUUUGAGUUCCAAAUAUCACAUAUUAAAAAGUAAAUGGAUUUUAAAGAUUUUUAAAGAAGAAAACAAGCUUUUAAAGAUUUUUUUUCACAGUGUGGACCCUGUGCAUGAAAGGGUUAAAUGUUCUGUAAAUGUCACUUGUAAAUGUUGGGUUUUUGCUUCUUCAGGUCUGAGUGCUGUGGUGUUCUCGGUAGUUGAUUAGUUUUCCUGCAGACAGCCGACAGGGGGAGCGCUAGUGCAGCUUUUCUCUCCUAAGAGAAGAGAAGAGAGAAAACAUCUUCAAACUGUCUCUUACUGAUCUCUUCUUUACAGACACACAGUAAUUUUACUUCCUGUCAAAAAGACAACUUCCUGUAACUAUUUCCUGGAAGCAUGACAGAGUCGAUUCCUACAAAAUCAGAGUGCAGCUCGGAUGAAGAUAAAGCUGAGAAGCCGACUGAACGCUGCUCCUGAUAGGCGAGUAGCCCUUUCUUCUUUGAAUCACAGUGGAACCAGAUAGUACAGAAUAGACAUUUUCUCAUUAAUGCGUGCUUUAUCCUGGUCAGGGAUGCGGUAUAUCCGGAUUCUAUCCCGAGAAAGAACGGGAACGCACCCCGGAUGAGACACCAGUUCAUCACAGGACACCAUGCACACGCACAUUCACGCCUAAGGGCAAUGCAGCCAAUUCACCUACCGGCAUGGUUUUGGGAGACCUUACUGUUCACACUGACAGUAAUUUCAGAGGGCUCAUUUAUUAGUUUAGUCAUAGUCAGAGGUAAUUAAUUUUUUUAAUCAAAUCAAUUUUAUGCGUGUAGCAUUUUUAACAGAUGUAGAUUUACUUUGCUAAUGAACAAGCCAGAGGCGUCUGUGGGGAGGUAACAGUAACUCUGCAUCCCUUUGGACCACAUCGGACCACCCUGUCGUUGAUUAUGUUCCUAUAACAGCAUGCCCCCAAGAGUUUUCUUCAUUUCGAAGCAGACAGAAAUUUGUGACUACAUAGUAUCCAGAACAGAGAGAGCACCCCAAAUGAUCAAUAUUUUAUUUUAUUUAUUUAUCUUUUUUUGAGGAGUACCAUGAGCGAGGGAAACGCAGCUUAACAGCACUGACUCAACGCCCGGAUUUUGAAAAAUGCAAAAGUAUGUGGGGAACACUGGGUUGAGCUUUGUUUUCAGAUAAAGACAGAAGAAAGGUGGGCUUUGAUCUGUGAAAUCUCAUAUCUUUGGGCUUGUGUUGCCAAAAGACGCUCUGAAGCUCAAUCAGACGACCUGCAUGGGAAUUCCCUCCUGAUAAAAUGCACAUGAAACCAUGCAAAAACACACACUUCUCAUUCAUGCAUUUAUUUAUAUUCUUAUACACACUUAUUCUUUCUUAUAGAGACACUCAAGCACAUACUGCUGUGGAAUAAUUCCUUUUGAAAGUAACUCUAUAGCUUAUCAGAUCCUGGUUGCUUUGAGGCAGUGGGUGUGGGUGAAUGCCUACACGUAAAAUUUUCUUCAUUAUACAACAAAGAUCCUCUUCUCAUUCACAGCUGGAUGCCACACCAAUGACAGCUGCUCCUGUUUACCUUUCAUGCAUCCAUCCCACAUAUCCUGUUUCUUUUUGAGCCUCUCAUCAUUGUCCAUGGUGUAUUUACCAACACGGGUACGACCUUAUCACUCAGACUUAGUAUUUCCGAUCACACAAAGUUUCUGAACUUCUGAAAGAAUGAUGACGCGAAAGGUUGCUUUUUCUUUGAGCUCUUUGUUUGACAUUUUGGUUGUUUUCUUGUUUUGGGAAGGGGGGGCCGGAACCAGGCGAAAUGUGACUGAUAAAGGUCAGUCUUUAAGAUUAAAAGCGAAACAAGCAUCUAUUUAGUGACAGGAAAGGAGAAAAGGAUAUAUUGUGUUAUUUUUUAUGCAUUUUGUAUUUACCUCCAUACACGUGUGUGAUGGCUGUGUAUGCAAUGCUGAGGGUAUAUGUGUGUGUGGGUAUAUGCACGUCUCCACACCUAAACAGACCUCACAAGUUUCAUUUGUGCCGGUUCUCUGUCCAAAUUGGACAUUUGAUUGGGCUGAGGGAUAUGAUGUCACCACGUGGAAGUACUUUGAUGGGCAUGAGGGUACCAGGGGCAGCGAGGCAGGACAAUGAGGCAUUAUACACACCACGCCAUUGAUUUCUAUCUGCACAGGGACACCCGGGAUAGUGCAUCACUCCCUGAUGAAAGCACCCUGCACCCUUAGCACCACCUGAUUAGAACACUUCCACCACAGAACAGUGUAAACAGCCAUGAAUGACCUGACUGCAAAUGUAUUUUUUUACAUGGUCAUGCUGGUAAUAAACAUAUAAUAAACACGAAAAUAUGGUAAUAAACAUUUAGUGUAAGGUUAGAUUAAGAUUUUACUUAUAGUAUGAGCAUUUAAGUUUUUGGCGUCUUUAAAAUGUAAUGCAAGGGCUAUUGUGCAACCCUGAAGCUAGACUGCCACCUGCUGGAGAGACUCAGUCACAGUGAACAUUUAAUGAUGAUUUACUUCUGCCUGGAGCCACCUUGACCUGAGAAUCACCGGCUGCUGCUGAGGAUGGCCUCACUUGGACAGCCUAAUGACUGCACUUGCUAAAAACUAUUCUUAAGUCUCUUCAUUACACAGUGGAAAACAUCACUUGAAUUUUAUAGACUUUAAGCUAAAACUCUGCUGAAAUCAACAGUGACACUGAUGCUUAUACUGAAGAUGUUUCCAACACACAUAGCACUGCUUGACACUAUAGUAUACAAUUGUAGAAGAGUAAUGAUUUACAUUCUCACUAUCCCGUGUGACCCAGAUGAGGAUGAGUUUCCUCUCGAGUCUGGUUCCUCUCAAGGUUUCUUCCUCAUGUCAUCUCAGAGAGUUUUUCCUUGCCAUUGUUGCCUCUGGCUUGCUCAUUAGGGAUAAAUCUAUAUCUAUACCCAGAUGUCUGUAAAGCUGCUUUGUGACAAUGUACAUUGUUAAAAGCACUAUAUAAAGAAAAUUGAGUUGAAUAAUGUAUUUAUUUCGAUAGUCUUCCUUAACUCAUCAAAUUAAUGUUAGUUUUUUCAACACUAUAUAUAUAUACACACACACACACACACACACACACACACUGAUGAGCCAUAACAUUAAAUACACUUACAUU